CCAAUAGCGUAUAUUAAAGUUGUUGCAGUUAAAAAGCUCGUAGUUGAAUUUCGGGAUCUAUCCGUCGGUCGGGCUUUUUGGUCUGCACUGGCGUGAUGGAUUCCUACCUUCUGAAUAACCGACAUGUCAUUAAUUUGGUGCGCCGGGGAAGCAGGACUGUUACCUUGAAAAAAUUAGAGUGCUUAAAGCAGGCUAUUGCCUGAAUACAUUAGCAUGGAAUAAUGAAAUAGGACGGCAUGGUUCUAUUUUGUUGGUUUCUAGGAUUGACGUAAUGAUUAAUAGGGAUAGUUGGGGGCAUUAGUAUUCAAUUGUCAGAGGUGAAAUUCUUGGAUUUAUUGAAGACUAACUACUGCGAAAGCAUUUGCCAAGGAUGUUUUCAUUAAUCAAGAACGAAAGUUAGGGGAUCGAAGACGAUCAGAUACCGUCGUAGUCUUAACCAUAAACUAUGCCGACUAGGGAUCGGAUGAUGUUAAUUUUUUAAUGACUCAUUCGGCGCCUUACG
rnacentral:rRNA from 1 species